GACGAACGCUGGCGGCGUGCCUAAUACAUGCAAGAAGAACGCACAGUUUAUACCGUAGCUUGCUACACCAUAGACUGUGAGUUGCGAACGGGUGAGUAACGCGUAGGUAACCUGCCUGGUAGCGGGGGAUAACUAUUGGAAACGAUAGCUAAUACCGCAUAAUAUUGAUUAUUGCAUGAUAAUUGAUUGAAAGAUGCUAUUGCAUCACUACCAGAUGGACCUGCGUUGUAUUAGCUAGUAGGUGAGGUAACGGCUCACCUAGGCGACGAUACAUAGCCGACCUGGGAGGGUGAUCGGCCCAACUGGGACUGAGACACGGCCCAGACUCCUACGGGAGGCAGCAGUAGGGAAUCUUCGGCAAUGGACGAAAGUCUGACCGAGCAAGGCCGCGUGAGUGAAGAAGGUUUUCGGAUCGUAAAGCUCUGUUGUAAGAGAAGAACGGGUGUGAGAGUGGAAAGUUCACACUGUGACGGUAUCUUACCAGAAAGGGACGGCUAACUACGUG
rnacentral:rRNA from 1 species